AACGAACGCUGGCGGCGUGCUUAACACAUGCAAGUCGAACGAGAAAGGCGGGGGCAACUCGCCGAGUAAAGUGGCGCACGGGUCAUUAACACGUGGAUAAUCUGCCUUAGGGUGAGGAACAACCUGUCGAAAGACGGGCUAAUACCUCGUAAGACCACGGGAUCUUCGGAUCCUGAGGUAAAAGGUGGCCUCUACUUGUAAGCUAUCACCUUAAGAUGAGUCCGCGCACCAUUAGCAGUUGGUAGGGUAACGGCCUACCAAGGCCGAUAUGGUUAGCUGGUCUGAGAGGACGACCAGCGACACUGGAACUGAGACACGGUCCAGACUCCUACGGGAGGCAGCAGUGGGGAAUCUUGGACAAUGGGCGAAAGCCUGAUCCAGCAACGCCGCGUGAGUGAUGAA
rnacentral:rRNA from 1 species